GCGGCUGUGGUCUAGAGGUCAGGACAUUGGCCUUCCAAGCCAAUUGCCCGGGUUCAAAUCCCGGCAGCCGCA
rnacentral:tRNA from 1 species